rnacentral:lncRNA from 1 species
AUACUACUAAGUUGGAGAUCGUGAAAAUUAACAUGUAGAGUCUGUACGAGGAUCAAGAAUCUCGUCAGUCGGCGCAUGAGAUUUAGAUAUCAUCUGGAUAAGAUUAGAGUUCUACAGCCAGAGAGAAACAAAAGAAACAAAAGAGGAGAGGUUAAUGCCAAUCUGUUACAUUAUACCAUGAGAAAUAAAAGAAAAGAAAACAGACACACAAUAGUUCAACCACAUG